GACGAACGCUGGCGGCGUGCUUAACACAUGCAAGUCGAGCGGUAAGGCCCUUUCGGGGGUACACGAGCGGCGAACGGGUGAGUAACACGUGGGUGACCUGCCCUGCACUCUGGGAUAAGCCUGGGAAACUGGGUCUAAUACCGGAUAUUCACAUGGUUCUGCAUGGGGUUGUGUGGAAAGUUUUUUCGGUGUGGGAUGGGCCCGCGGCCUAUCAGCUUGUUGGUGGGGUGAUGGCCUACCAAGGCGA
rnacentral:rRNA from 1 species